GUAAUGUGGCCAAGCGGUCUAAGACACUGGAUUUAGGCGCCAGUCUCUCCAGAGUCGUGGGUUUGAAUCCAAUGGGAUACG